AGUGAGAUUGCUGGAUCAUAUAGUGAUUCCAUCACUAGUUUUUGGAGGAAUCUCCACACUGCUUUCCAAAGUGAUUGUACUAAUUUGCAGUCCCAACAACAGU
rnacentral:pre_miRNA from 1 species